rnacentral:rRNA from 1 species
UACGUAGGGGGGCAAGCGUUGUCCGGAUUUAUUGGGCGUAAAGAGCGUGUAGGCGGCCAUGCAGGUCCGCUGUGAAAACUGGAGGCUUAACCUCCAGACGUCGGUGGAAACCGCAUGGCUAGAGUCCGGAAGAGGAGAGUGGAAUUCCCGGUGUAGCGGUGAAAUGCGCAGAUAUCGGGAAGAACACCCGUGGCGAAGGCGGCUCUCUGGGACGGUACUGACGCUGAGACGCGAAAGCGUGGGGAGCGAACAGG